AGCGGUGUUUCAGGUGGCCACACCGUCCCGCAGAUCUUGGAAGCUAAGUGGGGUCAAGCCUGGUUAGUAGUUGGAUGGCAGCCCACCUUGGAAGACCAGGGCCCGUUA
rnacentral:rRNA from 12 species